AGCUAGGUGUUUGACACGUACCCCCAUUUGGGUCUAAUCCGUCCACGUUCAAUGUUUGGAAUCUAGAAUUUUACCUUGGAGGAGGGUGACCGAUUUUCUAAAUAUAUAGGGGAUCAAAUAUAAAAAAGUAAAAAAGAAAAAAAAGAAAUUGCAUAUAGAACAUUACAAUGGCUAUAUAUAUAGAAAGGCAUAAAAUUACAUCACUAAUUUAUUAGCCCGUUGUAUAAGUUUACUUUUGCAAUAGAGACUGAUGAGUCGUUCGGAGUUUAAACCUAAACAUUAACCGUUUGGUUCGGGGUUAAUAAAAAACUAGUUAUUCCAGGAAUAGGGUAAAGUUCAGGGUUAAGGUGGGGUUAGAGUAUAUUUUGUGUUUAGUUGGGGAUUGGAGUUAGUCCAGGAUUAAGAAAAAUAAUGUUUGGUUGGAGUAGGUGGGAUAAGAAGGAUAGUGGGUAAAAUAUUAUUUUGUUUGGUUUGAAUAGUGGGGUGGGGUGGGGUUAGCUAACUCCACCCCAAAUGGGCUAUCUCAGAAUAGCCCAUUUGGGGUGGGGUUUGCUAACCCCGGUUGGAGUAGUGGGGUGGGGUAGGGUUAGCUAACCCCACCCCUUAUUUGAUGUGUUUGGGAAUAAGUUGGGGGUUAAGGGGUUAUUCCACCCUUUAACCCCCAACCAAACACUAGCGUAAACAAAAUUUAUUUAAAUCCCGAUAUUGCAUCCCAAGUCAUAAAUUUGUUAGCCUCAUUUGUAUGGUUGUAAUGGAGUAAUAGGUUGCUUUCGAGUUUCUUGUUUCCACAAAGCAUAUAAAUGAGAGGUCAUUUUGCAUUUACUCUUUAAAGCUCUGAGCUCACCACAUCUGGUUAGUCACACGAGUGCACCAAUAAAAAUAUCUACAAACAAACAUUAGUAGCCAUGAGUAAUGUUAGAUAUUUUGAUUAUCGAGUUCAAUUUUGUAUCAUAAUUUAUUAAAAAUUUUAUGGUAUGAUAAAUUUUAAAAAUAAUUUGUGAAAGAAAAAAGAGAUGUUUGUGAUGAAAGCGGAGGGCUCAAAUUGAUAGCCCCGAGAGAUUUUGAAGACAUCCGUUAAGAUUUUUUUUUUCUUCUUUUUGUCCUAUAAACAAUAUAGUGCAUUGUGGUUUUCACAAUAUUGUACUUCAUACAGUGAAGUUAGAUCUCUCAUCUUUCGUUCGUGGUUAUUUUCUGUAAAAAUUUUUUUGCGAAAAUCCUUGUGUUCUAUUUUUUUUUUUUUUUAUUUUGUGAUUUGUCUAUAUUGUGAUCACCGUUUUUCGUUUUUGAUUGUGCGCUCGUCGUAAUUAACUAAAGAAUUUGGCUUCUUUUCAUGAUACUCCAAAGAUGAUACAACAAUGGUUAAAUAACCAUUUACAUACAUGCCCUAAUAAAUCAGGGCCUAAUCUAAGCCUUAAUUUUAGGAAGACAAUCAUGUGAUUAAUUGUCUAAGAAUGAAAAAAUUCCUAAGAAAGAAAGUAAAAGAUGGAAAUAAAUAAAAUUACAAAUCAUAUUUCCAAUCUAAAUGUUAAUACUCCCCCUCAAGUUGGCGCAUGAACAUCAGUGAUGCCCAACUUGCCAAGCAAAAAAUGAAACUGCUGUCGUCCCAGUGCUUUAGUAAAAAUAUCGGCAAGUUGGAGAUAACUGGGCACAUGAAAGGUUUCAUUAUCAUGCGAUUGAAGCCGUUCGCGAAUAAAAUGACAAUCAAUUUCGAUAUGUUUAAUACACUCAUGGAAAACGGGAUUAGCCGCAAUGUGAAGCGCCGCUUGGUUAUCACAAAACAGCCUCAUUGGUUUGGGAUGAUCAACUCCAACAGAACAAAGCAAAUUUCGAAGCCAAAUUAGCUCACAAGUAGCAACAGCCAUGGAUCGAUAUUCAGCUUCUACAGAUGAACGUGAAACUGUUGUUUGCUUCUUAGCUUUCCAAGAAAUAGGUGAAGAACCUAGCAUGACAAAAUAACCUGUAAGGGAGCGACGUGUUAUAGGGCAACUUGCCCAAUCUGUAUCACAGUAAGCCCGCAAUUGUAGAUCAUUUGAAGCCGAAAGAAAGAUGCCUUGUCCGGGACAAGACUUUAAAUAAUGUAGAAUUCUCAUCGCUGCAUCUAAAUGUCCUUGGCAUGGCUUUUGCAUAAAUUGACUGAGGAUAUGCACCGAAUAUGUAAUUUCUGGUCAAGUGAUAGUGAGAUAUAUAUAUGCCUUCCAAUGAGACGUCUAUAUUGUGCAGGAUUAUCAACUGGUGAUCCUGAAUUUUGAGAAAGUUGGUGUUGUUGUUCCAUUGGAAAGUAUGCAGGCUUGGCUCCAAGCAUUCUACAUUCAGCUAGAAUAUCCAAGGUAUAUUUUCUUUGACAUAAAAAUAUAUCCGAAGGAGAAUGAACUACCUCCACACCAAGAAAGUAUUUCAAAAUACCAAGAUCCUUGAUAUGAAAGCAAGUAUCAAGGUACUGUUUAAGCAAUAGACACUCUUUGGAAUUAUUUCCUACAAUGAUCAAGUCGUCGACGUACACAAGGACAGCCAAAAAUGCAUCUCCUUUAUUGAAUGUAAAAAGCGAAUAAUCCACCUUAGAUUGAAGAAAACCAUCCUUUUAAGGGCAUCAGAAAAUUUAGCAAACCAAUUUCUUGAGGCUUGUCGUAAUCCAUAAAGAGAUUUACGUAAACGACAAACCCUUCUAUCCUGAUUUUUGGAGAUACCUGGUGGAAGAGACAUGUAUACUUCUUCAUCUAAAUCACCAUGUAGAAAAGCAUUAUUCACAUCAAGUUGGUGGAGUUCCCACUUCUUUGCGACUACUACAGCAAGUAGACAACGAACAGUUACAAGUUUAGCAACUGGAGCAUAUGUUUCAUGAAAAUCUAAUCCCUCAAUUUGUGUGUAACCCUUGGCCACGAGGCGUGCUUUGUAGCGUUCUAUACUGCCGUCAGCCCGAUAUUUGAUUUUAUAAACCCAUUUGCAUCCAAUAGGUUUCUUAUUAGGGGGAAGAUGCUCUAAAGUCCAUAUUUGAUUUGUUUCAAGUGCUUGAAUUUCCUUCGCCAUAGAAUCAUGCCACUUCGGAUCAUUUAUUGCCUGGGAAAAAGACUUUGGCUCAUCCAAGUUUGUGGUGGCCGCUAGGAAAGCUCGAUGUUUAGGUGAGAAGCGAUCAUCGAAAAUAAAAUGCGAAAGAGUAUGUGACGUACCGGAAGAAGCAUCUUGAAGUGAUGAGUGAGAGUUAGAGUUUCCAAGAGCAGAGUGGCAUAUAUAAUCUGUUAAAUAAGUUGGUCGUUUGUGUGUUCUUUGUGGUCGAGAAAAUGUAGGAUGCAUUUCAGGCAUAGGUUCUAUAUCAGUUUCUCUUUCCGAAUUGGUUGAUUGAGAAUUACUAAUGUCAGAAAUGACAUCAGAAUUCUCCUUUUGGGGUAUCAAGGGAGCUGCAGGAUUAGUAUCAAUGGGUUGGUUAGAUUGUUUUAUUGAUAAAGGUGGAACUAUUUGAGCUUCAGUAUAAUCUUGAAUGCGUUGUGGAAUCACAGGUUCAUGAUGGUUAUGUUGCAUGGCAUCAAGAAUGCUCGAACUGGCAAAAGGAAAUUGCUCUUCGUAAAAUAUCACAUCACGAGAAACAAAAAUAUGUUUAGUGGCUAAAUCAUAAACUUUCUAACCCUUUUCCCAUAAGGAUAUCCUACAAAGAUGCAUCUAGCUGCCCGUGGAUCAAAUUUAUCAUGUAUUUUGUAAUGGAGAUGAGCAUAACAUAAGCACCCAAAGACACAAAAAUGUUCAUAUGAUGGUGCUUUAGAAAAUAAAAUUUCAAAUGGAGACUUUCCUGAAAGAAGUGGAGUCGGAGUGUAGUUUAUCAAAUAUGCAGCAGUUAACACACGUUCACCCAAAAAAUCAAUAGGAAGGUGAGCUUGGAAACGUAAAGCUCGCGCAACAUUAAGGACAUGACGAUGCUUUCGCUCUACUCUUCCAUUUUGUUGGGGUGUAUGAACACAAGAAGUUUGAUAUAUGAUGCCAUUUUGAUGGAAAAAUUUUUGCAUGAGAUUAGAAGUGAAUUCCGAUCCAUUGUCAUUCCUAACUUGUUGCACUUGACAUUGAAAUUGUGUUUUAACCAUAGCACAAAACGAGGUCAAGUAAUGAUAAGCCUCAGAUUUUUGUUGCAUCAAAUAUACCCAUGUGGCACGACUAAAAUCAUCUACUAUAGUGAGAAAGUAAUGGACUCCAGAAUUUGAACGUGUAUGAUAACGACCCCAUAUAUCACAAUGUAUAAGAGCAAAACAACAACUAGUUUUAUUAUUACUUAAAGGAAAUGAUGCACGAGUUUGUUUGGCACGAUGACAAACAUCACAACCAGCAGAAUAAUUAUUUGUAGAAAAAAAGAUUUCAGGAAUAAAAGAUAAACUGCGAUGUGAAGCAUAUCCGAGCCUUUGAUGCCAUACUAGGUUAUUGUUAGGUUGAAUGACAGGUGCUGCAAUUGGGAUAGCCGACUGUUUGAAGUAGUAUACUCCAUCUCUCAUUUCACCCACUCCAAUCAGCUUCUUCUUGGUGAGGUCCUGAAUAGCACAAAAUGUUGGAAAGAAAGUCACAACACAAUUCAAAUCAGUGGUAAGUUUUUGGACAGAAAUCAAAUUGCAUUUAAAAUUUGGCACAUAUAGAACAUUAUUCAGAACAAUAUUUUGGCUUAAUGGAAUGCAACCAAUUUUUGAAAUAGGCAUAUAGGUUCCAUUUGGCAAACGAACAGGUGGUUUGUUAUAGGCUAUUUUAGAUUGAGCCAAAGCUCGCUCACUAGCAGUCAUAUGAUCCGAAGCUCCACUAGCAAUUAUCCACUCAGCUUCACAAAAAUUUUGAAAGACCUUACCAGAAAAAGACUCUUGCAUGCGUGAUUUUUCAGUACUUAAUAAAAUUAGGAGCUGAUCAUAUUGUUCUCUGUUCAAUCCUGCAAGAGGCGAGGCAUCCACUUUGGUAGCUUGAGAACUAUUUGCAGAUGUGUAUGGAACUCUGCUUGAUUGCUCAGUUUGCAUAUUGCUGAAUGUUUAGGAAAAGAUUGCAUUAGAUGCUGGUACAAAUAUUCUUGAUCGUCUAUUUGACCAGUUUGGUGGAUAUCCAACGAGUUCAUAACAUCUUGACUUGUUGUGGCCCAAUUUCUUGUAAUGAUCACAUCUUUCUUUGAAGCGAUUAGAAUCUCUUUGAUUUGUCUUGACCACAUUGCUAACAUAUAAGGCCGCAGCUUCGACUUUGGGGCCUCGACUAGGAAAUAGAGAUUGUUGUUUUUCUUCUCUUACAACAAACACAUAUACUUUACUCAGAUUUGGCAUAGGAUCAAUGCUUAAAAUCUGAAAUCGUAUAGUAUUGUAUGCAUCACCUAGGCCCAUGAGGAAUUGGUGGACCUUUUCUUUCUCGCGCUCUUGCACGAAUUCUUUGGCUGCCCCGCAAGAGCAUUUGGGAACAGUUGAAUACAUGCUUAAUUCAUCCCACAAGGCCUUCAUCUCUGUGAAGUAUGUGGCAAUACUUAAUCCAUUCUGUUGAAGCGAACUAAGAUCACGUUUGAUUUGAUGGACUCGAGGAGGAAUUACUUUGUGAGAAGCGUUCUUCUAGAUCAAUCUACAUCUCCCUUGCUGUUUCAAGAUAUGCAACACUAUCAUGCAAUUCCUUGGCUAGAGAAUUAAAAAGCCAAGAAAUGAUCAUAGAGAUACAUUUCUCCCAGGCAUGAACAUCUGGUGAAGUCACCUCUGGUUUCAUUAUGGUUCCAUCAACAAAACCAUAUUUGUUUUUAGCACGUAGGGCAUUAGUCAUUGUUCUAGCCCAGGUUGCAUAAUUAUCUCCAUUGAGCAGGCAUAACACCAAAGUAUUUUCAGGACUAUCAGAAGGAUUGAGAAAGAAAGGCGAAGAGGAAUCAAAAAGUAACUUGAGCAUGCAUUGGUGUUAUCAGAUUCCUCUCCCAUGGAGAUAGGUUAUAAGGAAAUAGAAUAGGAGGUUAAUGGUUCAAGACUUUUUAUUUGGCUCUGAUACCAUAAAGAAUUUGGCUUCUUUUCAUGAUACUCCAAAGAUGAUACAACAAUGGUUAAAUAACCAUUUACAUACAUGCCCUUAAUAAAUCAGGGCCUAAUCUAAGCCUUAAUUUUAGGAAGACAAUUAUGUGAUUGAUUGUCUAAAAAUGAAAAAAUUCCUAAGAAAGAAAGUAAAAGAUGGAAAUAAAUAAAAUUACAAAUUAUAUUUCCAAUCUAAAUGUUAAUAGUAACAAAUAAUAUUUAAAUUUAAUGAGCUUAUUCGUCAACACUAAAAUCAGUUUUGUUAGUAUUAUCAUCCCUUGAUUUAUAAGAUGCUUUCUUAUACAGUGAUUUGCCCUUGUAAAAUAUUUCUAAAAGUAGAGUUUAUCUGAUUUGAAAGUUCCUUGCCGUAUGAUUAGUAGACUCAAACAUAGUCUCCUUUUUCUAUAUAUGAAGUGAGUUCUCUGCUUUUAAAGUCACUUCGGAAAAAAAAAGAAAAAAAAAGAAAAAAAAAAGAACAAUAAUUAAUAAUCACCUUACAAGUUCUGUCAUGGCGAAGCAAAAAAUGCCCAACUGCCCACGUGGUGGUCCCCACAAUAACGGCCGUAUACCCCCAAACUAUCAUAAAUAAAAGGAAGUUAACCACCGAAAAAGCUCUUGAAAAGAAAAAAGUUUUGAAUUCUAGUUGAUUCAUAUUUCCAGUUAAGUUUAUUUUUAAAUAAAAUAAACGAAGCAGUAGCGUGCUAUCUAUCUUUCUCAAAAAAAAAAAAAAAAAGCAAAAACAAAAAAAAAACCACUCACACCCUCCAACUAAAAAGUAUUAAAUUACAAACAAUAAUACAAUAUAUACAAGCACGGCAAUAAUAUGGAGAAGCUACAAUUAAAACAGAGGCAAGUGACGCGAAAAUUAUGUUUCAGUGUGGCGUCAUCGCACGAUGGUGUGGUGACGUCCACGGUGUUUUGUCAAACAGUGCUGCGCCCCCUGAACUUAAAAUACUCUGUGCCCCGGCACUCCGUCUUCCACCAAUUUUCUACCGCACCUUCUCGGGCCCCUUUCUCUCUAUCUAUCUCACUCACAUCCCUUCCUAUCCUUAUAUUUCUCUCUUUCUCCUACUCUCUAUAAUAUAAUGGCGAAUCAACUGCUCUCGACGGCUCCUCGCCGCGAGACCCUCCCGGAGAGCUACGUCCGGCCCGAAUCGCAGCGCCCGCGGCUCUCCGAAGUUGUGACGGACGCCGACAUCCCGGUGAUCGACCUCGGCUGCCCCGACAAGCCCCAAACCAUCUCCCGAAUCGCCCACGCCUGCAGAUCCUACGGCUUCUUCCAGGUCCCUCUUUUUUCUUUUUUCUUUUUUCUUUUUUUUUUUUUUNCGAUUGAUUGCCUAGUUUUGUUUCGAUCACGGCCGAAUCGGCCGCUUGCGCAUUUUGCAGGUGGUGAGUCACGGGAUAUCGCCCGAGUUGAUGCUGCAGGUUAUGGCCAUGGCGCUCGAGUUCUUCCGCCUGCCCGCGGAGGAGAAGGCGAAGCUCUACUCCGACGACCCCGCGAAGAAGAUGCGGCUCUCCACGAGCUUCAACGUGCGCAAGGAGACGGUCCACAAUUGGCGCGACUAUCUCCGCCUUCAUUGCUAUCCUCUCCAAGAGUUCGUCCCCGAUUGGCCCUCUAAUCCCCCCUUGUUCAAGUAAGGAAGUUUGAGCCGCCCCUGUUUCAGGACAUAGUUUCAAAACUUUGUUUCUUAUUGAUUGAUCGUGAACUAGUUAAUAGCUUGCCUAAGCUACUAGGUAUUAGGUGUCUAGCUAGAGAGGAAGUCUACUGUACUUUGUCACACUUACAUCGCGUCAUUAAUAACCAGCGGCGUUAUUAAUAACCAGCGAAUCUUAUCUUUUUCUAAUAAAAAUAUAAUAAAAAUAUCUCUUUAUUAAUCACGACGGACAGAUGAAUUCAAAAAAAAUAACCUUAUUGGUUGGAAACGGGAGGUCAGCAACAUAACUUGUACUUCCUAGCUAGGAAGGAAAAAUCUUUCGGUGUGGGGUCUCACACAGCGACUCUUUAUGCGGCGAUCUGCGACCGCACACUAAUAUCUACAUCCAUCGAAGGUUAGUGCUCAGUGCUCCCCCUCCGACAUCCGGUGAGGACGACCGGGAGGGAGUGGCACGCGCAACAGGUGUUCGGUCGAGCUUGCUCCGAAGCUCGAAUGCGCUAGUUUGCGGUGUCGGUGUACGGAUUUUUUUGUGUGUGUAAGAGAAGGACACCUAUUCUUAAGUUCCUAGCACUUACCGACCUAACCUACUGCUUUGGAAGGAGUGUUAGCAUCCAUUAACACAAUGACUUUGUCAUGGCGAGGCCAUGAAAAAGUUCUUUGGAAUCUAGAGCGAUGCUUUGUUACAAAAUUUCUUAGAAGAGGAAUUUAGUUUGUUUAAUCAUAUUCAGAGUGUAAAGGUAACGUGGCCUUCAAUUUGUCUUUUAUUAAGAAUCUUUUGAAAUUAGGAAUCUUCCACAUGUUGUGAAAUGGUCCUAGUACUCUUUUUAGUGAGGGAUCUUACCUACUUGGCCUUGUACCUUCGUAAGGUGAAAAUAUAGUGGUUUUAAAACAAAAGCCACGCAAAAAAGAAGUUAAGGAAAAUUGUAAAAAGAAGAAGCAAUCGCUCAUUAAUCGUGAUCAUUAUUGUUGCGUUUGUUUUUGGUCGGUAUUAUAGGGUCAAGCAAUAUUUGCCAUCAUCAUUUAUAAUUUCCGUAACAACACUAUCUACAAUCACAGCAAAGUGGCUGGCACAGAGGAAUAUACCAGGCAUGUGAGUGCACAUGCCUAGAGGACUAGUACAAAAGAGGGGCAAUUUCGGCCUUAACAAAUUCUAAGCAUGUACACUUCGUCAUCUCUCCUGUCCUUAUCUCUGUCAUGCACGUGCAGUAGGGUGUUAAGAUUGCUUCUUAAAUAUUUACUGCUGGUGGCCUUACGUAAAGUCUUACAUAAAGUACGUAACAAACUAAUCCUGUGUUUUCUCGGUCUGCACCAGGGAAAUAAUGAGCACCUACUGUAGGGAGGUUCGUCGGUUAGGGUUUCGGCUCCUCGGAUUCAUAUCUUUGAGCCUAGGUUUAGAGGAGGACUAUAUUGAAAAGGUGUUGGGCGAGCAAGAACAACACAUGGCUGUGAACUACUACCCGGAGUGUCCCCAGCCGGAGCUCACUUACGGUUUACCGGCCCACACAGACCCGAAUGCGCUCACAAUCCUUCUGCAAGAUCAACAAGUGGCUGGUUUGCAGGUAUUGAAGGACGGAAAAUGGAUCGCGGUCAAUCCCCAGCCCAAUGCUCUGGUCAUCAAUUUGGGAGACCAACUACAGGUGAAGUAGAGUUGCUUUCGCUUGAUAUUCGCAAACCCGUAUCAAAUUGGCUGGUUUGUCGAUUAACAACUGAUACAUUAAGAUAAGAGUUUUGAGAGAGCGACUUGGUGAUAAUGUAGGCACUUAGCAACGGUCGAUACAAGAGCGUCUGGCACCGGGCGGUGGUCAAUUCGGUCCAUGAGCGGAUGUCCGUAGCAUCCUUUUUGUGCCCGUGCAACUGUGCACUCAUCCGCCCUGCAGAGAAUCUCACCGCUGACGGAUCCAACGCCAUAUACCGGAGCUACACAUACGACGAGUACUACAAGAAAUUCUGGAGCAGGAACUUGGAUCAGGAGCACUGUUUAGAGCUUUUCAGAAGCUGAAGGUUCAUUUGGAUUGACGCAAUUGCAAUUCGGCUGUAAGUCAUGUCUAGCGGGAUUAGAAGUAUUAAGUUCUGUUGUAGAUCACGACGAUACCAAAAAAGUAGACUUCAAUUCUUUUUCCAGUGAAGCUGUUUUUGAGGAAUUGAAUCAACCAGUAGACCAAAGAUAUCUUUUGUGUUGUUAGGUCAAGCGCAGGAAGUAAUAUAUCUAUUCUCACUUCAUAUGAUUUACGGCCAAAUUGCAAGCGCGCCGAUCCAAAUGCUCCAAACCCUCCCUAAGUUGCGCUCCUUCAUGUCGUCCACAUAAACAGCUUUUUGGGACGGCUCUGGUUGUCCACCAUGCAAAAAAGAAGGAAUUGGUGGCUUCUGGGGACUCGGGGGCCCUUCGUCCAUUUUUCAGUUUAGUGCAUCACUAUGCCGUUGGAAUGUUUCUUCAGGAUUAUUAUUGAUAAGUCAGUUUUAUUAACGUCACAAUUAGUGAGUGUCUUAGCUUUUCGAAGGCGUUGCCCAUACUAAUUAUCGGUACAAAAAGCUAAGUCACUGACUAAUAAUAAGAUGUGUAAAGUUGACCGAUCAAUAAUAUUUUAAAGUAUACUAUUAGGUAUGUGUACCACUUUUUUUUUUUUCUUUCUAAUUUUUUUAAGCAUGUUGCUUUUCCUUUUUGGAGCACUCAAAUUGCUCCGCAUCAGGGAGGAAAGAUUCGCCUCUUAGGUGUCCAAUGGAAACAAGUGGUGGUGUCGCAGUGAUGUCUCCGUUUGUAUUUAGCAGAAAGCGUUUGUAUUUAGUAGAAAGCAUUCUGGCACGGCUUCAGUGCUUGUACCAUUAAUGUAUACUAUCUUGUACGCAUGUUGUACUGCUUUAUUGAUGAUCUAAUGUUUUGGUCACUGGGGCAUUUAAAUUGCGUUAUGACCUAAUGAGUUGCUCAGAUUGCUUUUUAGUGGACUUCGCACGUAUAAUAUUAUGUCUUAGACAAAGAGCGCACCAAAUGAAUUGGGUCCAAAAGCACAGAUUUAAGUGCGGUGCUAUGAGAUUGUACCUAAAACUUACAGACACGUGUCGGAUCAGUGUUGGUAAAAAAAUAUAUAUGUGCCGAUAAAUAAUAAUAUAAAAUAUUUAUUUUUUAAAAAAAUCAAGUUUUCUAAUUACUUUAUUAUAUAUUUUUAUCAAAUCUUAUAAAUUUUAUUGAGAAAAUUAUUUAUUAAUUUAAAACGAAUUUGAAAUAUACAGUGCCGGUAUUUUAUUGAUACGAGAUGGUACGGUAAAUAUUGUCAGCACCGAUGAACACUUAAAUCCUUAUCGAAAAGACUUAAUAUGAUGGUUUAUUGUUAUUAACUCUAAAACUAAGUCAAAUUAUGCUCCAAUUAGUCAUAGAUCGAAUCAAAAUGGUUGAAUUUGCUCAUAUUUUAGAUUCCUUCCCAAUAUCCAAUCCAGAAAUAGUCAUCUACUUAACACAACAAACCAGUAUGGGCCUGUUUUGCCUAACUUCUAAAAAAGUGAUUUCUGCAUAAAUGAUUUUGGUUUGAAAAAUUGAUCUUGGUGAAAAGCUAUAGAGCGGUUGACAGAGUUUAGGUAAAAGUGAUUUUUCUGAAGUGAUUUUUUAAAACUGUUCGGCAAAAAAAAUUUUAAUGCUUGCAUAAAUUAAUAUUUUUACUAAAUUUUAUUUUAAAAUAAUUUAANAAAUUUGAAAUAUACAGUGCCAGUAUUUUAUUGAUACGAGAUGGUACGGUAAAUAUAGUCCGCACCGAUGAACACUUAAAUCUUAAUAUGAUGGUUUAUUGUUAUUAACUCUAAAACUAAGUCAAAUUAUGCUCCAAUUAGUCAUAGAUCGAAUCAAAAUGGUUGAAUUUGCUCAUAUUUUAGAUUCCUUCCCAAUAUCCAAUCCAGAAAUAGUCGUCUACUUAACACAACAAACCAGUAUGGGCCUGUUUUGCCUAACUUCUAAAAAAGUGAUUUCUGCAUAAAUGAUUUUGGUUUGAAAAAUUGAUCUUGGUGAAAAGCUAUAGAGCGGUUGACAGAGUUUAGGUAAAAGUGAUUUUCUAAAACUGUUUGGCAAAAAAAAUUUUAAUGCUUGCAUAAAUUAAUAUUUUUACUAAAUUUUAUUUUAAAAUAAUUUAAAAUUUAAAUUUAAAUAAAAAAUUUAAAUUUGAAUUAAAAGUAUAAUUUUUAAAUUUCAAAUUUGUACAAAAAAUAAAUUUGAAAUUUCAAAAUUUUAUAUUUAAAAUUUGAAUUUUUAAAUCUAAAUUUAACUUUUCAAUAUGAAUUUAAAUUUUGAAUUUCAAAUUUAAAAUCUAAAUUUCAAAUUUCAAAUUUCAAAUUUUAAAUUUCAAAUUUAAGAUUUGAAAUUUGAAAAAAUUUAAGUUUUAAAAUCUGAAAUGUCAAAAUUUAAAUUUUAUCUUAAAUUUAAAAUUUAAAAUUUUGAAUUUUAAACUUUAAAAUUUGAGAUUUGAAACUUAAAUUUAAAAUGUAAAUUUUAAAAGUUGAGAUUUAAAAAUUCAAAUAUAAAUUUAAAAUUUCACAAUUUAAAUUUAAUGUUAAAUUUAUACUUUGAAUCUAAAGUAAAAAAAUAAAAAUUUAAAGUUUGAGUCCAAAAUCAAAAUCAGUUUUGGAGAAAUAGCUUUUUUCUAUUUCUGAUUCCCGGACCUUCAAAAUCAGUUUUCUGAUUCUGAAAAGCUGAAUCAGAUUUUUUAUCUGCCAUUUCCAAAUACUCUAUUGAGCUCAAAAAUAAUUUUAGAUUCAGAAUCACUUAUGAGAAGUUGGGUGAAACACCCCUAUGUCUUUGUUCAAUUCCUUGGAAACUUUGCUCCCAAUCAAACAAAAUCCAGAAAAGAUAUGAUUACAUCACCGACAACAGUGUCGUCUACCCGAUAACUUUUUAUUUUCGGCCGACCAACCCAAUGGAGCCGCACCUUUUUGUGUAGCUCUUUUCUGCCUGUUACAUUGCACCGACUAUUGGAAUUAGGCUCUUCGGUUCAUGGCAAGGGCCAAUACUUUACCGCCUUUAAAUUUGGAUCCACUCAAACACAGUAGACCCUGUCCCCAUUAACACGCUUAUCUCCACCGCCUUUGAAUUUGCUGGACCACUCGGAGCGAAGAUCUCAUCCCUACUGUAGCAAUUGCAGCGUAUUUUACCUUUUUUUUUUUGGGUGUGGGGGGGGGGGGAGGAAUUGAAAAGUAUUCGAUGAAAAAAAAAAUACAGUGAUUACUGUAAUAAAAAGUAUAGAUGUAGUUCUGAGCCGCAGAAAUGAAAUCUCUAAUUUGUUGUUCACGGCCUGAGCAAUAAGUUUGUUCCGACCACCGUGAAAACACAACUAGCGUAAGUUAAAUCUCGAGAAAAUCCUAAACCCUAAACCUUAACCCUGAAUCAGAAUUUUUCUAACGAAAGUUCUGCUAAUUUGACAAAAACAUAGAAUACCACUCAGAUCAAUAAAAGAACAAAAAGGAGCAAAGUAAAAGAAGCAUAAAGUAGAACAAAAGGUAGAAAUCGCCGGAAAGAAUAAGAAAUGGAGACACACGCACGCAGGCACGCACACACCAACUAUAUUUAAUUGUGCAGAUUAUUAAUUUAGAAUCUUUACUUUCUGAUCUGUAUUUAGUAGUUUUUGGGGAUCAAUUUUCUUAGGAGAAGACUCCUAAAGGAUACAAAGAAACUUCCGGAAUGAUGCGCGGGUGAAAGAACUAGGCCUGGGCCCAACGACAUUUUCGGAUAUGGCACAUUAAAGUGGAAUCUAGGCCCAGAUUCACCCAACAAGACGGGCUCUGUAGCCUAAGAUCCGACCCAGGCCUAUCAUCAGCCUUAUCACUCCCGAAUAAUUCUCCACAAGGUCUACUCAAAUUUGCUCUGCAUGAGUUGUUCUAAUUUGUCCAAUAAGAUUCACACCGACAAACCAUCCCUAGCGCAAGUAGCAAAAAGCUUGGUGAUUGGUAUCCGAAGUCCUAAGUUCGAAUCCUAGUUGAUUCAUAUUUCUACAGCUAAGUUUAUUUCUAAAAUUAAAUAAACGAAGUGGAUAGCAUGCUAUCUAUCCCACAGUAUAGUUACUGAAAUAGAGAUAGAAAAGGUCGUAAUAAACUUCAAUCAAGCAAUCAACAUUCUGUACUAAUUUUAUGCUUUUCCUAUGUACUGUUGAUGAUUCCUUUUAUGCAUGAGGGUGCUAAAAUAGGGAAAAUGGGAGGUGUAUUUAAUCUUUUUUCUCCCACAGUUUUGCUUUCUUUUAUAGUAUUUUUGUGGAAUUUGCACGUUUAGUUUUCUAGACUUGCUUAUUAAAACUAAACUUGCUUAUUUGUGAAUCUGUUUCAUGCGGCUUGGCAAGGAAAUUUUGAAUCAUGGAUACAGGAUCCUUUACGUGUAAGAUCAAUUGCUCAUGCAAUUUGGGAUCCUCAUUUUGGUCAACCAGCUGUGCGCCUCAGUACUGAAAAUGGCACAGAAAAGUAAGCUUAGCUCGCUGGGUUUACUUAUUUAUUUAGUCAUUUGUUUAUUUAUCUAUCUAUUUAUUUUGGUUGUGUUAAGAACCCUUCCGAACUUGUUAUCUGGUUGAGAUGAUUAAUCAACAAGUGAAAUAAUGGUAUUUUUGAGAAAAAAAAAAGAAGCUUAUAUUAAACAGUCGUGGUUUCAUUUAAAUGGCCCAAAGAGAGUAUUUCUCUGGCUACAGCAGUUUCAUAUGAAAUGGCUCAACAGGAGUUGAAACUGUAAAUAUAUGAAUGCAAGCUCAACAAGUCUAAAACCACAGCCCGUGUGUUGUGCGGGGUCAAAGAGAAAGCUGUCGACCAUUUAUUCACAUGAUGUGUCUUCUCGAGAUUUUUACUGAUGACGACCUUAGAGUAUGCUCAGUCUAGAGAUUGAGGGGAUGACGUGAGAUCGGUCAAGGAUAGAUGGAUGACGAGAAUUGGAACGCAGUCGUCGGGUACUACGAUAUCUGGAUUGGUAGCCUGCUGGCGGGUAUAAUUUGGAAGGUCAGAAACGGCAUGAUCUUUAGGAAGACCAAACCGGACCCCUUUUUUGUAGCUUACAAGAUAUAGCAGCUGACGAAUCUUUUGAAACAAUUUCUAUCAGGUAAUCAACGACACGUUUGUAGUUAGUCGGUUUUUGUUUUGCUUUUUUUUUUUUUUUCGACCCCUCCGAGGCCUAUGUUGCCUCAACCCUGUAGCUUAGUUCAUCUUUUCAAUGAAUGAAACGAGUAGCGUGCUACCUAUUUCUAAAAAAAAAUAAAAAAAAAAGAAGUCUAAACCACCUCUAUACAUCAAAACAUAUAACCUUAUGGAAAAUACUUUGCUUAUAAAUAAAUCUCACAAUAUUUUACAAACUAUACAAUGCAGUGGUCGGGCUUCAAUCUUAAACUAUAAAUCAUGCUUUUCUUCUUGUAAUUUACAAUUUUUCACCAAUUAAAUGCCGUCACCUAUGCUAGUGUAUAAAAUAUUGUAAAAUUUAUUUAUAAAUAUAACAUUACUCGAGGUGCAGUACUCUAUCAAACACAGAAUAAAGAAUAAUGCUAAGAAAUUAAUACUUGGUUUGAUCAAAUAGUCAUCAUAAUCUUAGUUAUAACAAGCAAGAUAAAACUUUAAAAAUAGAUCAUGAUGGAUGGAAAAACUUCAAUUCGAAAAAGACUUGUAUUUCUACAGAGAUUAUCAUGAACAAUCCUUAGAUCAUCCCUUUACCUUAGAAUUGAGAACUACAUUAAUUUUGCGUUUGGUUUUAGUUGCAAACAAAGAAUGUACGAGUUUAAUCCCUAGAUUCUCAUGAAAGAAAGCAUUUCGGUUGUAUUUUAAAAAACAGAAAUUUUUUUUCUUAAAAUCUUAUUCUUUAUUUACUUUCGAGAUUAAUUUCGUAUAUGUCCCUAUAAAUAUAGUAAAUAACAAAUAUAUUCCUACAAACUUCAAUUUUCAUAUUGUCUCUACAAGAGUUCUAAUGCUUACAAAUAUUCCUGCAGUUAGAAAUCGUCAAAAAAAUUUAGUUAAACAUAGAUUAAUGACUUAAUCUUAAUUAAUUUUUAAUAUUUUUAUCACUUUUAUAUUAUACUAUUAUGAUUUUUGAAAGAACAUAUUUAUAAUGACAAAAUUAAAAAAUAACAAAUCAGAAGAAUAUAUUUAAAAAUAUAAAAACUUCCAUAAAAAUAACAUGUAAAAAUUAAACUUUGUUGGAAUAUAUUUAUCAUUCACUAUAUUUGCAGGGACUAUGAAAUUAACCCUUACUUUUAAUUAUGGUUAAGUUCCACUCUUGAACCAUAAUCCACCAUAACCCAUAAAUUAAAUGUUUCAAAUUAGAAUUCCUUCAUUUAUUUUUAUUUUUAUUUUUUACUUUUUUGUUGCCUCCACAAUCCGCAGGGAUAGAUAAUGGAAUGGCUGGGAUCAAACUAUAGAUUCAAAAGUGGCCAGUUGUCCGUUUGGCAUCAUCCUACCAAUUAGCAACUUAUUACUAAGGCAAACAUCCAAAAGUAGCUUCGUCCCCCCCCCUCCCCUCGUACUAGUUAUGGCCGCUAUAAACAAACAGCUACUAGGAAACAAAGGAAACGAAAAGAAAAGAGAGAAGGGGGGGGGGGGGGGGAGGUGAAUUUGCCAUCAUAUGCAAUCAUGGGCGUCGAAUUUCAACGCAUCGCGAUCCCUAAACUCGAGAACUGCGCUGCAACGCUUCCAAAGAAAAAGUUAGGCGAGUUGGAAUCCACCAGAGCAAAAUAUAUCCGUAAGAGAGAGAGAGGAGGAGAGAAGAGAGAGAGAGAGAGAGAGAGAGGGAGCGAGAGUACAAAAAUCGGCUUCACUGCUCCCAAAAGCUUUUUGCUGCAGCUCUGGCUACCACUGCGUCGAAGCCUCCCCACAUCACACAAUUUUCACCAGCACACUACUGUAGCCAUGGACCACCUCAACCCCCUUCUUCAAAGUCUACGCAUAUAUAUACGCCAUCGUCCUCCUCUACUCUCUCUCUCUCUCUCUCUCUCUCUCUCUCUCUCUCUCUCUGUCUCUCUCUGCUCCACGUGUCGGGGAGGGAAAGAAGGAAAGAGACGUGAGAUGACAGGAUAAGAAAGAAUCGUUCAGCAGCCAGCGUUGAUGCAGGUGAAGAUCUGGUGCACAGCGGCUGCCACCUCGUCGGCGGAGCCGAGCCUGCAGUCCUCUUCCAUCUGCAUUUGGAUUAGCUUCCACUAAUUAGCGUCCGGGGAUUACGUUUGUACGGACUAUUCGGAUGGAUUAUCCGUGGCGCAUUGCCUACAAUGAAUGCUAUGCGCUACGCGCGGAGUAACUCUGCGGUAGCAAUUCCAUGGUCGGCAGGUGCAAUCCCGCGGCCAUCACAUGGAUGUAGAUUUUAUCUUGUUUCAGGAGUAUCCUCCAGAGUCAUGCAUAAAAAUAGAAAAGUCGAGGAAGAGAGAGAGAGAGAGAGAGAGAGAGAGAGAGAGAGAGAGCAAUGAAGAUGAGGGUGAAAGACCUUGAGGUUGAGGGAGUAGAGGACGGAGGAUUCGUCGAGGGAGGCGAUGUUGAGGUGCAGGACGGAGAGGCGGAGCUCCUCCACGGCGGCGAUGGCCCUCGCCAACUGCCCCGCCCGCCGCGGCCCAGCCACCUUCAGGCUCACGUGCCCUUGCACCACCUUCGCCUCCACGUCCACCCCAAACACCGCCGCCGCCAUUUUCUCCUCCCCCUCCUGCUGUAGCCGCCGCCGCUGCUGCUGCGAGUAGGUCGUAUACUGCGGCGAGAAGAAGAACCCAUCGAGCACGGCGCCUUCCUGGGUUGGGUCGUGAGCCUCGUCGGAUGCGGUGCACCGGAAAGAGCUCGCGGCCGAGGUACGGAUCCGCUUCUGGGCUCGGAGUGAGAGGAGGAGCUGCUCCAGCUCUUUCACGAAGUCGAUGGCCCCACCAAUAAUGGAGGCCUGGUCCCCCUGCGCGUAACACGGGAAUCUUCAGAUCACAGCCGUUGGAUAGGAGAGAUUGGACGGCUGCCAUUUCGAGCGCCUAUGAAAUUUGAAUAUGAGUGAGGGCUGGAACGUACGUACCCGUUGGACGAAGGAAGGCGGGAUGAGAGAGCGCAGGGCGGCGAGGUGGUCGUUCAUGAGACGGCGGCGGUUGCGCUCCACCGCAAUGUGGGUCAACCGCUGGGUCUCCACCUCCUCCGGCUUCUUCGCAGACCCCGAAGCCCGCGCCCUCUUCCUCUUCUUCUUGGCCCGCGGCGCUGCCGCCGUCGCCAUAAUUAUUUCCACUUUUUUCUCGUUAUGGUCGUGGCCGAGCCUUCUGACAUCGGAUUGCGACUCCGACGCGUGGGAGAUGCAGCUCUCGAGCUGCUCCACCGGCACGGGGGCUGCGGCGGCAGAAAAGACAUCAAUCUCAGCCGUCCGAUCCCGCUUGCCGCAGUUGCUUUGUAGUUGGAGGAGCUGGAAUUGGGAUUCGGAAGGAUAGGAGGGUAAGAGAGAUUGGGAAUGGAGCCGUUCUUCUUCUUCUUCUUCUUCUUCUUCUUCUUCUUCUUCUUCUUCUUCAUCCUCCCCCGCUGUCUCUACUCCCAUUGCUCCUCGGAGUAGCAACUGGAGGAAAGGAGUUUGGCGAUGAUGAUGAUGAUGACGAUGAUGAUGGGACGAGAUCAGGCUUAAGUAGCUCAUCUCCACCGCAGAGUUACUGUUCGCCACCCCUGUCUCCAAGCACUCCGAGUUCAUCUCCUCUCCGCCCAACUGCUUUAUUUUCCAAGUAAAAUGGGAGAGAUUAGCAAGUGCGUUCUCUUUUAAAAAUCGAAACUUUACACAGGGGGGUUAUCGCGAAACAGGCAAAUGACGCGGACCCAUUAACGGUCAAGGAAAUUGAAUGGAAACUUUUCCGACCCGAAAAAGGAAGCCACGGACAAAGAAAGGAGGGCAAAAUAAUCCCACCUCUAUCCUCUUCCUUCUAAUGCAGCUGCAUUGAAUGAAAUGUCCAUAAAGGGGAACCGGUACCCACCUUUCUUCCAUCCACAAAAAGGAGGUUUGUGGGGGGUUGGGGUGUGGGGGAAAGGGGUAUUCAGAUGAUGCGCAAGAGAGAAAUUAAACAGGAAAGGGGUGGGGUAUUUAAGGACACUUACGAAGGGAUUAAUGGGCCCUUGAAGCCUCUCCAUAGGAGCAGCAGCACCAAACAGAGGAAGCAGUGCCGGGAAUUGACAACUCCCACUCGCAGCAGUCUGUGUGCAAGUAGCACCCCACCCCCCCACCCCCCUUCUGACUCUCUGCUUCUUCCUUAAACAAUCCCCCAACCACCACUUCUCUUCAUGAAUCGAACCGAAAGGUGCUCCUUUAAUUCCAUCCUCGACGCACCCAGCCGCAGCAUUAAAUGCAGAGGCAGAAACGCGAGACAACACAAGGAACAAAGCCCACAAUAAUCAUUACUCUCUUGCUUCCUCUGUUUCAAAGGGCUAGUGGUCCGAAGAGAAAGGAGCGAGUGCGACUACGGAGGAGAGCUGGGGACGGACUAGGGAGGGGAAUAAAACAAAGGAGAUGGAAUGAGAGGGAAUGGAAGAGAGAAGAAGAGAGAGGAGCGGUCCUGCAGAACAAUAUAUGGUAGAAGGGUUGUGGGUGAGAAAAGAUGUGGGGGCGGCGAGUAAAAAAGCCUCCUCAUGCAGGGAUGAUGAUAAAUAGUAAACUAAUACACGGUAAUAAACCAUGAGGUAAUUGAGUAGUGACAAAAGGCAAUUGUGGGGAUUCUGACAGCGGAAGCAUCUCCCAAAAAUAUUAUUUUAUAUACAACGAAUUCAUAUAAAAUAUUUUAAUUAAUUUGCACAAAUAAUUUAUAUAUACCACAUUAAGCUGUUGAAAAAAAUAAUAAAUAAAUAAUAAAAAUAUACAAAAUUUAUCUUAAUACAAACUAUUUUGAAUAUACUUAUUCAAUUUUUCAAUAUUAAAAUCUUAACGCACCUCGUUUGGUUAGGGAAUAAGAGUGGGAUAUCUAUCUGAUUCCUUAUUAACGAAUUAUUUCGGAAUAAUCCUAAGCAGGGACGAAGCCAGAAAUUAAAAUUUGGGGGGGCCAAGAUUUAGAGUUGAUAGGAAAAAAAUUCAACCUCAGAUAAUAAGAAAAAAAAAAUUGUCAGGUUUACUGAUUAGUUAUUACUAGCAACAAUAAUGAUAAUAUACUCAAAGAAGAAUAAAACUGUAAAAGUUGAAGAAAAAGGAUCAAGAAAUUUGAAAAAAUAAAAUUAAGACACAAAUUUUAUUAAAAAAAUUAAUUUGGCCCGCUACAAUUAAAAUUUAUAAUAUUUUAAUUUUUAUUACAAAAAUUUUUUAUGUAAUUUUAAAAAAGUUAGAGAAGGCCGUGAACCACUGUGGGCCCCUCAAUAGCUCCGCCCCUGCGGUUAAGGGGUGGGAUAGCUCCCACUCUUUGUGUGAAAAUAUGGGUGGUGUUCACACCCCUAUUUAAUUCUUUUAAAAAUUUAAAUUUUAAAAAUUUAUAAUAUAAAGAGUAAUAUUAUUUUUUUUCUAUUUAGCGCUAAUUAUUUUUCUUAUUUCAUUUAUCUAUCAAAUGUUAUUUUUCUUAUUUUCGAAAACAACUCAAUUUUUAUCCAAAUUCAAAAUUGAUAUAUUUCAGACUUAUAUCUAAACUUAUACUUAUCUUCGAAAUAAACAGUUUUUGUUUGAUAUGCAAUAAACAAAAUAC
rnacentral:lncRNA from 1 species